rnacentral:rRNA from 1 species
GACAGAGGGUGCAAACGUUGUUCGGAAUUACUGGGCGUAAAGCGCGUGUAGGCGGCCAUGCAAGUCGGAUGUGAAAGCCCUCGGCUCAACCGGGGAAGUGCACUCGAAACUGCAAGGCUAGAGUCUCGGAGAGGAUCGUGGAAUUCUCGGUGUAGAGGUGAAAUUCGUAGAUAUCGAGAGGAACACCGGUGGCGAAGGCGGCGAUCUGGACGAUGACUGACGCUGAGACGCGAAAAGCGUGGGGAGCAAACAGG